AUAAAAGUUAAAAUUACUAAAAAGAAAACGAAUUUUAUAAAGAAUCUUAUAACACCAGAUGAAAAGUUGAUGAUUACCCUAAGAUACCUUGCGACUGGAGAUUCAUAUGCCACCAUGGCUUAUUCUUAUACUAGGGGUAUCUACUAUAAAACAAAUAACAGGAAUAAAAACCAAAGCUUUAUGGGAUGUUAUGCAACCCAUCCAUAUAAAGGUCCCAUCAUUGGAGAUGUCUGAGGAAGUUGCAGGCUUUGAUGAAAUGUGGAACUUCCCAAACUGUAUAGGUGCCAUUGAUGGGAAACAUUGUAAGACAAAAAAGCCUCCACAUUCAAGAACUCAAUUUUUUAAUUACAAGCAUAGAUUCUCAUUAAUCCUUAAAGCAUUUUUUAAUCAUAUUGAUAAAUUUAUGGUUACAGAUGUUGGUAGCUAUGGGGGCCAAAGUGAUGGUGGAGUCUUUGCCAACUCACUUCUAUCACAAAGAAUUGAAAGUGGAGAACUCCCGAUUCCACCUCCAAAGCUAUUACCUAAUUCUAAUAUAUUAUAAUAUACUAUAAACAUAUGAUAUGUUAAGUAAACAAUAAUAUUUAUAAAUAAUAGAAUAAAUAUAUAUUAUUUUAACAAUUGAAAACUGUUCACAAAAUAAAUAACACUAAGAUUAAUAGUAGAUAUUGAUUCAAUUAUUAAUCUUAUAAACAUGAUAUAAAUUAAAGAAUAUAUCCAUUUUAUGCAUAAUAAAUUUAAAUAUUGAAAAAACUAAUAAAUUAUCUUUUUUUAAAAUUGUUUAUAAAAAGCAAUAUGUUGGCCUGCAUUGCUUUAUUUUAUAGCUGCACCAAUCAAAUAUUUUCU